GUUCCGACUAGGUGAAAACCUGCGAAAUGACGUUAAUACCCCUGGUUCUAGUCUUCUACUACCUCAGUCCCCAUCUCCGCCCCGCCCUCCACCUCCGCCUCCGGCCAGGCGCUCCAGUCCACCUCCAUCUGCGUCCUCGCAUGCCCAGGCGCUCCUCCUCCACGCCCAGGGGCUCCUCCUGGCCCGCGCGCGCCCAGGUGGAGGCGACCUGGUGCUGGGCUCUUCCUCGCCCGCGCCCAAGUUGAGGCUCGGCUGCUGCCCAGCUACUGGAUUUAGGGCUACUGCUGCACUUGCUACUCCUAAUGCAAGCACUCCAUUUACAGUACUCCUAAUGCUUGGAGUAGUUCAAGCAGUAUUGCAGUAAAAGUACUCCUAAUGCUACAACAGUUAACAGCAAGCAAGUUUAUGUAAUUAUUAAUGCACACUCGAGUACAGUACUUCAAUGAAUUUCUGCAAAUAAU